AUUGAACGCUGGCGGCAGGCCUAACACAUGCAAGUCGAGCGGAGUGAUGGUGCUUGCACUAUCACUUAGCGGCGGACGGGUGAGUAAUGCUUAGGAAUCUGCCUAUUAGUGGGGGACAACAUCUCGAAAGGGAUGCUAAUACCGCAUACGUCCUAGGGGAGAAAGCAGGGGAUCACUGGUGACCUUGCGCUAAUAGAUGAGCCUAAGUCGGAUUAGCUAGUUGGUGGGGUAAAGGCCUACCAAGGGGACGAUCUGUAGCGGGUCUGAGAGGAUGAUCCGCCACACUGGGACUGAGACACGGCCCAGACUCCUACGGGAGGCAGCAGUGGGGAAUAUUGGACAAUGGGGGGACCCUGAUCCAGCCAUGCCGCGUGUGUGAAGAAGGCCUUAUGGUUGUAAAGCACUUUAAGCGAGGAGGAGGCUCUUUUGGUUAAUACCCAAGAUGAGUGGACGUUACUCGCAGAAUAAGCACCGGCUAACUCUGUGCCAGCCGCCGCAGUAAAAC
rnacentral:rRNA from 1 species